rnacentral:misc_RNA from 1 species
UCUGCAGCAAUUGCUUAUGCCUUUUUGUCUCAGAAAGCUGACAGUCCUAUCAAAAUUUCAGUUUGGCCAUUAAUCUUUGCCUUUGGUGUAUUGUGUUCUAGAUUUCCAAGGAAUCCUCGUCCAAAAUCAGCCCUUCGGCGCCUAAAAACUGCUCAUCCUUCCCGGCGAGGACUGCAGCCUCCUGAUUACCCAUCGCCGUCUUAUGAAACUCCAUUACUCUUCCAAGAUAAGAAUUAUUACAGGGACUUGUCUGAGAUUGCUGAGCAGGCCAAAAGGCGUGCAGAAGUAGCAAGGUAAUGAUGCAACCGAAGCUUAUUAGAGAUAUUUGGUCUAUCAAUAGUUUGUUUUGCCUGUUAAUUGCUAUGCUCUUUUUGGCUACCAGGUUAAGGGAGCUUCAUGAAGGAACGGAAGC